rnacentral:misc_RNA from 1 species
AUUGUAUCUGGUUCUUAAUUACAUCUGCGUUCUGCUGUUGAUUGAUCUGCAUAAGAUCCUUCCACUAGAGGGAGAGAUAUCUGCUCCUUCUUGCAUCAUCAAGGGAUCUCCAGCCACCAUACUUGGAAGUGAGUAUUCUGGUCCACAUGUCCCCCUGUUUCUGAAACAGUUCCCACCUCCACUUUCCUAGCAACGUCGUGUUAAAUACCCGAAGAUCUUUUAUGCCAAGACCACCUCUGUCUUUUGGGAGACACACGGUUUCCCAAUUGACCCAAGCAAUCUUUCUGUGUUCCAAGCCUCCACCCCAUAGGAAUCUACACUGUAUGUUGAUCAGCUUUUCAACAACUUUGU